ensembl:lncRNA
AAAGGACUGUGGGGUAUGGUACAAGAGACGGAGCAGCUAGCUGCGGAUGCUAAUGCCCAAGUACGAGCUGAAUUUGAACGGAAGAAGGAAAAGGCUUUUUCAGUGCUGGUACUGAAUUGGGAGCUGCUGCCAAGAAGGGAAACACAGUGAAGUUCAAAAGGACUCAUUGCUACAUAAGAGGAAAGAAUGGAGCUCUCCAUGGAAUGGGAACACAACGAUCUGACGGAUUGUAUCAGCUGGACAUCGAGGGAAACUGCACAACUUGUCAUGGAGCGUCAACUGCAUCAGUUCCAACAAGUAUGUGGCAUCAGCGCCUAGGUCACACUACAAAUCUGAAAAAAGUCAAAAACUUGGUAAAAGGAGUUAGCUUUACAAAUGAAGAGGAAGACAUUUUUUGUGAAGCUUGUGUUGAGGGCAAAUUAUCAAGAAAGCCUUACAAAUCAGUGGGAGAAAUUCGAUCAAAACGCAAGUUGCAAUUAGUGCAUAGUGACGUUUGUGGUCCUUUUCAAACUGAGUCACUAGGAGGAAAAAAAGUACUUUGUAACUUUCAUUGAUGACUACUCCAGAUGUUGUAAAGUGUAUUUCAUAAGAGAAAAACGGAAGUCCUGAGCAAGUUCAAAGAGUUUGAAAGAAUCUUCUCGAAUGAAUGUGGACAGGGAGUAAUAAGACUCAGAACUGACAAUGGUGGGGAAUACACAUCUAAAGAGUUUCAAGAAUAUUUGAAAGCUCAAGGCAUCCACCAUGAAAUGACUGUACCACACACACCACAGCAAAAUGGUGUCGCAGAGAGA